UAAGGAAUAUUGGACAAUGGGCGCAAGCCUGAUCCAGCCAUGCCGCGUGAAGGAUGACGGCCCUCUGGGUUGUAAACUUCUUUUAUACGGGAAUAAACCCCUGGUUUCUACCGGGGCUGAAUGUACCGUAAGAAUAAGGAUCGGCUAACUUCGUGCCAGCAGCCGCGGUAAUACGAAGGAUCCAAGCGUUAUCCGGAUUUAUUGGGUUUAAAGGGUGCGUAGGCGGACUAUUAAGUCAGUGGUGAAAGCCUGCAGCUUAACUGCAGAAUUGCCAUUGAUACUGAUGGUCUUGAGUACAUUUGAGGUGGGCGGAAUGUGUCAUGUAGUGGUGAAAUACUUAGAUAUGACACAGAACUCCGAUUGCGAAGGCAGCUCACUAAACUGUAACUGACGCUGAGGCACGAAAGCGUGGGGAUCAAACAGGAUUAGAUACCCUGGUAGUCCACGCCCUAAACGAUGAUUACUCGAUGUGUGCGAUACACUGUACGCGUCUGAGCGAAAGCAUUAAGUAAUCCACCUGGGGAGUACGGCCGCAAGGCUGA
rnacentral:rRNA from 1 species